rnacentral:rRNA from 1 species
GACGAACGCUGGCGGCGUGCCUAAUACAUGCGAGUUGAGCGCUGAAGGCUGGUUCUUGUACCAACUGGGUGAGCAGAGCACGGGUGAGUAACGCGUGGGGCAUCUGCCUUUGAGUGGGGGACCACCUUUGAAAACGAAUGCUAAUACCGCAUAAAAACUUUAAACACAAGUUUUAAGGUUGAAAGAUGCAAUUGCAUCACGCAAUGACGAUCCCGCGUCGUGUUAGCUGGUUGGUGAGGUAAAGACGCACCGAGGUGAUGAUACAUAGUGCACCGGAGUGGGUGGUCGGCCACCUUGGGACUGUGACCCGGCCCAAACGCAUUCGGGAGGCGGCAGUAGGGAAUCGUGGGCAAUGGACGAAAGUCUGAGCGAGCAAGGCCGCGUGAGGGAAGAAGGUUGUCGGGUCGUAAAUCUCGGUUGGUGGGGAAGAACGUGGGUGAGAGUGGAAAGCUCAUCAAGUGACGGUAACUACUCAGAAAGGGACGGCUAACUACGUG